GGGGCUGACUGCUGGCAAGAGAAAGUUCUAGAAGGAGGCUGGUGCCGUCGCCAUUAGAGCUGGGCGCUCGCUCGGGUCGUAUCGUUAUCACUGUAUAAUUUAUCUUUUAUAUUCUUUUGUUAUUUAUAAUCAAGCGGUGUGUGUGAACAGACAUGGAGAGGGAAAAGGAACAAUUCCGUAAACUCUUCAUCGGCGGUCUGAGCUUUGAGACGACGGAGGACAGUCUGCGCAAAUACUAUGAGCAAUGGGGCAAACUGACAGACUGUGUGGUUAUGAGGGACCCUGCAAGCAAAAGAUCCAGGGGCUUUGGGUUUGUGACCUUCUCCUCUAUGAAUGAAGUUGAUGCUGCAAUGUCUGCCCGGCCCCAUUCCAUUGAUGGACGAGUGGUGGAGCCUAAGCGUGCUGUGGCCAGAGAGGAAUCUGCAAAGCCUGGUGCACAUGUUACGGUUAAGAAACUUUUUGUUGGUGGUAUCAAGGAAGACACUGAAGAACAUCACCUUAGGGAUUACUUUGAAGAAUAUGGAAAAAUUGAGACAAUUGAAAUUAUUACAGACAAACAAUCUGGCAAAAAGAGAGGCUUUGGCUUUGUGACAUUCGAUGACCACGAUCCUGUGGAUAAAAUUGUCUUGCAAAAGUAUCACACAAUAAAUGGACACAAUGCAGAAGUAAGAAAGGCUCUAUCAAGGCAAGAAAUGCACGAAGUACAGAACACAAGAAGCAGCAGGGGCGGCAACUUUGGUUUUGGUGACUCACGUGGUGGAGGAAACUUUGGUCCAGGACCUGGCAGCAACUUCAGAGGAGGCUCUGAUGGCUAUGGUGGUGGUCGUGGAUAUGGUGAUGGAUACAAUGGAUAUGGUGGUGGUCAAGGAGGUGGAAACUUCGGGGGAGGACCAGGUUAUGGUGGUGGACGAGGUGGUUAUGGUGGUGGCCCAGGCUAUGGAAACCAAGGUGGUGGAUAUGGUGGAGGCUAUGACAACUAUGGUGGAGGAAACUAUGGUGGGGGAAACUACAAUGAGUUUGGGAACUACAACCAACAGUCUUCAAACUAUGGUCCAAUGAAGAGUGGUGGUAACUUCGGUGGCAGCAGGAGCAUGGGAGGACCAUAUGGUGGCGGAAACUAUGGUCCAGGAAGUGGAAGUGGAGGCGGUAGUGGCGGCGGAUAUGGAGGAAGAAAUCGAUACUAACUUCCAGACCCCACCCUCUGGGCUUCACUGUAUAAAUAGGAGAGGAUGAGAGUCCAGAGGUAACACAGCAGCAGGUUAUCGAGAUUACAAAGUUUAAGGAGUCAUUAUCUCAGUCAUGCAUAGAACAUGCAGUGAUAUGACAGAAGACACCAGAGCAGAUGCAGAGAGCCAUUUUGUGAAUGGAUUGGAAUAUAUUUAAGUACAUUACCUUACAAAGGAGGAAGGACUGUAAAAUAUGCCUUUGAGACAGUUUAAUAGGUUUUUAAUUGUUUAUUUGUAGUGGUCUUUGUAAAGAGUGCAGCAGCAUUCCUUUUUUGAUAAUGUUUAAUUUUUAAGUUACAGGUAACGUAAAACUUUGUUUUAAAAAAAAAAAAAUUCUGAACAGUUUAAAACUAGCCAGGAUCAUGGUGUAAUAUGAGACUUUAUUUUUCCUUUUAAAUUUCAGUGUGUGUAUAGUUAAGCUGUUGUACACUUUCAUUUAAUAAAAUAAUUCGAAAGGAAAACUUGUCUCUAGCUGUAUGUCUUGUAACAAGGGAGGGAGUAGCAAUGAGCAUCGUGAUACCGUUCUGUUCAGUGUUUGUGUUUUGCAAGUCAUAAGGAGAAAAAGUAUUUAGAUAACAAAGGGGAUCUCUGCAAAGAGAUGCUCCUGUUUAGAUCUUUUAGAUGCAGCUGCUGCUUCCAUGGCAAGUAAAAGGCGAUAUUUCCAGCGAGGUACUCAACCCAGUGACACAGGUCUAGUACAAGAGAAGCCUUGAGAGCGACUUCUAAGUUCAGUCUUUUAACACUGAGCUAAAGUUCUGGAAAGAGUUUGGGUCUACACUAGAUUAAGGAUGACUACGAAGGCUGAGGGGGUAGAGCAAAGUAGUGUUAAGCUUCUGUAGCAGGGGUUGAAAAUGGACAAGCAGUCUAACAGACUGAGCUACGGUUUCCAGUGAAAUGUGGUCCAAAUAUUGGAAUUCUUACAGAAUGCUACAGGUGACUGGAGCAAGUAACAUUGCAGCAGAAGACUUGAAAGCUGAACUCUCAUAAUUUACUGGUGGGAGCUUGGCCAUUUUAUGUGAAAAUAACAAGUUGAAUAUUUUUCAUAUGUAUAUAUUGUAUAAAUGUAAACAGCAAAAUAAAUUUUAU